rnacentral:rRNA from 1 species
GACGUAGGGCGCGAGCGUUGUCCGGAUUUAUUGGGCGUAAAGAGCUCGUAGGCGGCUUGUCGCGUCGUCCGUGAAAACCUGCGGCUCAACUGCAGGCUGGCGGUCGAUACGGGCAGACUAGAGUGCGGUAGGGGAGAUUGGAAUUCCUGGUGUAGCGGUGGAAUGCGCAGAUAUCAGGAGGAACACCGAUGGCGAAGGCAGAUCUCUGGGCCGUAACUGACGCUGAGGAGCGAAAGCAUGGGGAGCGAACAGG